rnacentral:rRNA from 1 species
GUCCCGGCCCUAAACGGUGCGCAUUUGCUGUGAGCGGAAUCGACCCCGCUCGUGGCGGAGCUAACGCGUUAAAUGCGCCGCCUGGGGAGUACGGCCGCAAGGUUAAACUCAAAGAAAUUGACGGGGCCUGCACAAGCGGUGGAGUAUGUGGCUUAAUUCGAUGCAACGCGAAGAACCUUACCUGGCCUUGACAUGCAGAUGGUAGAAGCCUGAAAGGGUGACGAUCCCGCAAGGGAAGUCUGCACAGGUGCUGCAUGGCUGUCGU